rnacentral:lncRNA from 1 species
CACGACAUUGAAAGAAUGAAAGCACCCUCACUAAAGCAGACCUCUCUUCUUUACCUUCCUAGACAAAGCAAUGGUUCUCUAUUCCAUUCGUAAUAAAGGCAAGAGCCAGAAUUCAACUUGCUUAUCCACCAUUUUCCAGGAAGUUACCUUAACCUCUACCACCAGUUCGGUAAUAUCAGUACUGCAAUUCUCAAAAAUCAUCUUAUUCCUUUGUCGCCACAAAUUCCAAACAACAACGUUCCAAUUCAUCACCAAACCUUGACGCUUCUGUUUACAACCAGGGGUAGCCGCAAGAGAAUUUAACAUAGAAAACAUAUUAUGUGGUAACAUGAAUUCCAAUCCUAGCCAAGAUAGAAUCUUUCCCCAGACUUGUGUCGCAAAACGGCAAUAAAUGAAAGAUGAAUUGAGGUCUCUGCACAGUCGCGACACAGCACACACAUCUUGUCACCAGUAUCGUGAAUGAUCUGCCUUCUGAACAAAUUAUCUCUCGUUGGGAUCCUGUCGAGAAGCAGCAUCCACGCAAAUCC